AGCCCAGGUAGUGAUGAUUGUCUUUAUGAUCAAUGGCAGUCUGUGGUUCGGUCAGACCAAUCUGUGCAUGACUGCCUGCAGCCCAGGUAGUGAUGAUUGUCUUUAUGAUCAAUGGCAGUCUGUGGUUCGGUCAGACCAAUCUGUGUGUGACUGCCUGCAGCCCAGGUAGUGAUGAUUGUCUUUAUGAUCAAUGGCAGUCUGUGGUUCGGUCAGACCAAUCUGUGUGUGACUGCCUGCAGCCCAGGUAGUGA